AUUUUCGUAAAUUGCAUACAUGGGCGUAGGAGCCGUAUGGGCAGGGUGGGCAGCUGCCCACCCAGAAAUUUCCCUGGGUGGGCCAUGCCCCUUUGUUGAAGAGAUUAAAAAUUUUAUUGCUCUAUUAAAAUUUCGUGUAGGAUAAUUUUAAGGGCAAAACAAUAGUUUUUCACUAACAAUUGACCUUUCUAGUCUAAGAGAGGA